CAAGUUUUUUGAUCUGAAUGGGAUAAAAAAAAAAAAAAAAAAAAAAUCUGUUCUUAUCAGUUUAAUAUCUGAUACGUCCCCUAUCUGGGGACCAUAUAUUAAAUGGAUUUUUGGAACAGGGAGAUGGAAGAAGAGCUUGCUCUGUCCACUCCACGCAUCGACCUGGUAUUGCAGUACCUACAGGAGAGAUUGGUCAGAG
rfam:Xenopus tropicalis strain Nigerian Chr08_contig_2599, whole genome shotgun sequence.